rnacentral:rRNA from 1 species
AUGGCCAUGAGCGGGAUCGGGAGCGUAAUUGCGGGUGCCGUGGGGAAGCAGAUCGUCGGCAUGCUGGGAGACUAUGCCGCGUCGGAGGUCACUCUGCAGUGGAGGUACAGAGAGGAGGUGCUGGAGAUGGAGGAGACGAUGAAAGAUCUGGAGGCGGUGCUGAGCGAUGCCGACGACAAGUCGCGUCGAGGAGGAGAUGGCGGAAGAGUCUUCCAGCGCUGGCUUACCAAGUUUAAGCGCGCUGCCUAUGACGUCGAGGAUGUGCUUGACGAGUUGGACGCCAAUGACCUCAUCAACAAGAGCCAAUCCAAGGUCAGCUUAUGGUUUUCCAGGAACAAUCAACUCCUGCAGCGAAUAACCAUGCCCCACAAGAUGAAGAAGGUGAUGAUGAAGAUAGACCAAGUUGAAAAGGAGGGCAGAAGGAGGCUUAAUCUUGUGCCUCAACAAGCAAGGGGAGAAGGGAGCAGAAACAAUGAAAUUCCUGCAGUCCACUACGGUGAUGGCGUGAAAACUGGAAUGGUGGGGAGGGGUAUCGAGAAGGACAAGAUAAUCAGCCUGCUACUCACAACUGAAGAAACUAACCAGCAGGAUAUCUCCAUCAUUCCAGUUGUUGGCCUUGGUGGCAUAGGCAAGACGACACUGGCUGAAUCAGUUCUUGCAGACAAGAGGGUCAGUGUCUUUGAUGUCGCAAUCUGGGUUAAUGUGUCCAAACAGUUUGAUUUGCACAAAAUUGGGGGUGCCAUCCUCAAAAGAAUGAUGAAUAGCACCAUCAACCUUGACAACUCCGAUUUGCAGCUUCAUCUGAAAAAGGAACUUGCUACCAGAAGAUACUUGAUUGUUCUGGAUGAUCUCUGGGAAGAAGAUGGAAAUAAUCUUGAAAGGUUGAAGGAGAUGUUACAACAUGGCCGCAAGGGUAGCAGUAUUAUAGUAACUACCCGAAGCCGAAGCGUAGUGCAACAAUUGCGCACUGGUUUUCUUGCAAAUCAGAGGAAAAUUUGCCCGGUUCCUGAGUCUGACAUAAUCGAUCUGGGUGUUUUAGAACCUGGUGAUUGUUGGGAAUUAAUCAAGCAAAGGGCAUUUGGAUCUGAUGAUGACCACAGUGGCCUAGAAGAAAUUGGAAAGCAGAUUGCAGGCAAGUGUGGGGGUUUACCGCUCGUGGCAAAUGCUCUUGGGCAGGUAAUGUCGGAGCUAAGGACCGUGGGUGCAUGGGAAGAUAUAAGAGACACCAAGGUUGAUUUGGGUUUGAGAGAAGGACAUCAGGAAGAAGCAUUAGAGAGGCUAAUGGUGAGCUAUUACUACAUGAAGAUCGAAUUCAAAAUGUGUUUCACGUACUUGGCAGCCUUCCCCAAGGGCUUUGUCAUGCACAUCAAUCAUAUAAUCCAACAAUGGAAUGCACUUGGGUACAUCAGUUCAAGGCACGAUGGUCAAAGGUGCAUCAACUAUCUUUUGGGCAUGUCCUUUCUUCGGAUUCCAGGAUCUGCUUCGGUUAGUCCAAGUUCAUUGCAUUUCAGAGUUCCUCCAAAACUGGUCAUGCAUGAUUUGGUGCAUGACCUGGCAUCAAUUAUUGCUGCUGAUGAAUUGGUUGACCUGGAUGCUACCAAAAGCACCAGCUGGAACAGAGCUCGCUACUGCCGACAUGCACAGUUAACCAACUUCAAGAAUGAUCCUGAGAUUUUCAAAUAUAUUCCAGGCAAGCUUAGAUCCCUCCACUUUCGGGAUUUAGGGGGGCUGCAACUCCCGAAAAAGGCAUUUUCCCGAUCCAAGUUCAUACGUGUCUUGGACCUAAGUGGACAUUCAGCUAAAGGUCAACCUGCUCCAAGUGGCGUGGUGCUGCCAUCUUCCAUUAAUCAAUUGAAGCUAAUUAGGUAUAUUGAUGCCGCGGGUUUGCCAAUAAAAUCACUUCCUAAGAAUUUUCAUGUACUUCAAAACAUGGAAACUCUUAUUCUCUCCAAUUCCAUGCUUGAAACCUUUCCAGACAGUAUUUGUCGCCUUAGCAAACUUUGCUAUUUGGACCUAUCUGGCAGUAGCAGCCUCAAUAAGAUGUCUGCAUCACUAGGGGAUCUCACUCAACUAUUUUUCCUCAAUCUAUCUGGGUGCUCUAUACUCCAAGAGUUGCCUGAAUCAAUCUGUAAGCUUAAAUGCUUACAUCAUCUAGACGUGUCAAAUUGUUGUGCUCUUCAGCAGCUCCCCGAUGAAUUCGGCAACCUGCCUAAGCUCUCGCUCUUAAACAUGUCAGGUUGUUCCAAGCUCACCAAACUACCUGGCAAUGUUAGCUUUCCGUGCUUAGAGCAUCUGAACCUAUCAAGUUGUCAUGAACUUGAAAACCUACAGAUUGAUUUUCGCCAUCUUCAGAAACUUGAGUUCGUGGACCUCUCUGGUUGCUACAAGGUUUCAAUGUUGCCAGGAUCAUUUUGCCAACUUAAUCAUUUGAAAUAUCUAGAUCUUUCAGACUGUCAUAACCUCGAAGAACUCCCUGAAUGUUUUGAUCACCUCUUCGAGCUUGAAUAUUUAAACCUAACAAGUUGUGCUAAGCUCCGACAAUUGCCUGAGUCGCUAUGCAAGUUGUUUAAGCUUAGGUAUCUUCAUUUGUCAUACUGUCUGAGGCUCAGCGAGCUCCCCUCCUCAUUUGGUGACCUUAAGCUUCAAAUAUUGCACAUGAAUGGCCUUCUAGAUAUGGAUGACUGCCCUGAUAGCAUUGGUGACAUGACUAGUCUCACCCAGUUUGUGGUCGACAGUGGACCUUCUAAUUUGCUUGAAAAGGUUAAAGCCAUUAAAAUGCGUCUAAAUCUUGUGGGCAUGGUACAUCAUAAUGUACAUGAGAUAGAGAGUAGAGGAUGUAGCAGUAUAGUGGAUCUUGUGGGAUUGACUUGUUCAGAGCUGAUACUUGCAGGCCUUGAGAAAGUCUGGGAUCCGGAAGAUGCAGACAGGGUCAAACUGCGUGAUAAAUCAGAUAUCCGAGUACUAAAACUUGGCUGGAUCCCUAAGUGGAUGUCUUAUAUAUCAAGUGGUAAAUCUGUGCUGGAAAGGCUCGUACCUCCUCGGACUCUUGAAAACUUUUGGCUAGUUGGGUAUAGGGGCAAGGAUUUCCCUAACUGGAUGUUUCACAUCUCGUCCUACCUCCCUUUUCUCAGCGAACUGACUCUUGAUGGUUUGGAAGCAUGUGAUUGUCUUCCUCCAUUUGGCGCACUCCCAAAUUUAAGAAGUUUGUGUCUGAGGAACUGUCCCAACAUUAGGAAAAUUGGUAAGGAAUUCUAUGGAGAGGGCAGACCUUGUAUGCAACUAAGAGUUCUGGACUUGGCGUCGAUGGAGAAUUUGGUGGAAUGGUUGACAACAGAGUCAAGUGAAGAAAACAAAGAGUUUCUAAUCCCUAAUUUGCAUCUUUUGGUUGUAAAGGACUGCCCAAAUUUGAAGUUCCUACCAUAUCCCCCAAGAAGUAUGAAUUGGUUUUUGAGCAACAGUGAGACAGUUUUGCCAGAACAAGGAUUUGGGAAGCUCUCGUCUUCCAUUCAUCCUUCUAGGCUGGCUCUAGAAGAACUUUCCAUUGCAGAUUGCCCCAAUCUGACAUCUUUGCCUGGAAGUAUGAAGAACCUCACAGCUCUUACAAAAUUGGCGUUGGUGGAGUGCAAAGGCCUAGAGAUAUUACCGGAAUGGUUGGGACAGUUGACUUGCCUAGAAGAACUUUCCAUCGGAGGUUGCCCCAACCUGACAUCUUUGCCUGAAAGCAUACGGAGUCUCUCUGCUUUGAAAGUUCUCAUAAUUGUUGGAUGUCCAAUAUUGAUUGAGAGGUGCCAAGGGGAGGAUGCCCACAAGAUUGGUCACAUCCCCAAAGUCGUACUGCGCUGA